GGGCGCAAGCCUGAUGCAGCCAUGCCGCGUGUAUGAAGAAGGCCUUCGGGUUGUAAAGUACUUUCAGUCGUGAGGAAGGCGGYGUCGUUAAUAGCGGCGUURUUUGACGUUAGCGACAGAAGAAGCACCGGCUAACUCCGUGCCAGCAGCCGCGGUAAUACGGAGGGUGCGAGCGUUAAUCGGAAUUACUGGGCGUAAAGCGCAUGCAGGUGGUUUGUUAAGUCAGAUGUGAAAGCCCGGGGCUCAACCUCGGAAUAGCAUUUGAAACUGGCAGACUAGAGUACUGUAGAGGGGGGUAGAAUUUCAGGUGUAGCGGUGAAAUGCGUAGAGAUCUGAAGGAAUACCGGUGGCGAAGGCGGCCCCCUGGACAGAUACUGACACUCAGAUGCGAAAGCGUGGGGAGCAAACAGGAUUAGAUACCCUGGUAGUCCACGCCGUAAACGAUGUCUACUUGGAGGUUGUGGCCUUGAGCCGUGGCUUUCGGAGCUAACGCGUUAAGUAGACCGCCUGGGGAGUACGG
rnacentral:rRNA from 1 species